GUGAUUAUGAAAGGUUGCCUUCUGUGCUGGCUGCGGCAAGUGCACGUUGGUGGCUUUCAUCCAAACCCCUGUGCACCUCUGGCCUCUUGCUAGCUUCGGCUGGCUGAGGAUUUUACACCCCAACUCGAAUGUAAUGAAAACUAUUGUUGUGCGCAAGCACUAACUAAUGUA
rnacentral:misc_RNA from 1 species